rnacentral:tRNA from 1 species
UGCAUCAGCCGGGAAUCGAACCUGGGCCGCCCGCGUGGCAGGCGAGCAUUCUACCACUGAACCACCGAUCC